AACGAACGCUGGCGGCAUGCCUAACACAUGCAAGUCGAACGAGACCUUCGGGUCUAGUGGCGCACGGGUGCGUAACGCGUGGGAAUCUGCCCUCUGGUACGGAAUAACAGUUAGAAAUGACUGCUAAUACCGUAUAAUGACUUCGGUCCAAAGAUUUAUCGCCUGAGGAUGAGCCCGCGUCGGAUUAGCUAGUUGGUAAGGUAAAGGCUUACCAAGGCGACGAUCCGUAGCUGGUCUGAGAGGAUGAUCAGCCACACUGGGACUGAGACACGGCCCAGACUCCUACGGGAGGCAGCAGUGGGGAAUAUUGGACAAUGGGCGAAAGCCUGAUCCAGCAAUGCCGCGUGAGUGAUGAAGGCCUUAGGGUUGUAAAGCUCUUUUACCCGGGAUGAUAAUGACAGUACCGGGAGAAUAAGCCCCGGCUAACUCCGUGCCAGCAGCCGCCGUAAGAC
rnacentral:rRNA from 1 species